rnacentral:rRNA from 1 species
GGGCCCGCACAAGCAGUGGAUUAUGUGGUUUAAUUCGAAGCAACGCGAAGAACCUUACCAGGGUUUGACAUCCAACUAACGAAGCAGAGAUGCAUUAGGUGCCCUUCGGGGAAAGUUGAGACAGGUGGUGCAUGGUUGUCGUCAGCUCGUGUCGUGAGAUGUUGGGUUAAGUCCCGCAACGAGCGCAACCCUUAUUGCUAGUUGCUACGCAAGAGCACUCUAGCGAGACUGCCGUUGACAAAACGGAGGAAGGUGGGGACGACGUCAAAUCAUCAUGCCCCUUAUAUCCUGGGCUACACACGUAAUACAAUGGUCGCAAACAGAGGGAAGCUAAGCCGCGAGGUGGAGCGAAUCCCUAAAAGCGGUCUCAGUUCGGAUUGCAGGCUGCAACUCGCCUGUAUGAAGUCGGAAUUGCUAGUAAUCGCGGAUCAGCAUGCCGCGGUGAAUACGUUCCCGGGCCUU